rnacentral:rRNA from 1 species
GGCGUGGAUAAGACAUGCAAGUCGAACGCUGGUUUGCGGGUAGCAAUAUUUGCAAACUGGAGUGGCGCAAGGGCGUGUAACACGUGGGUAAUCUGCCGUGAAGUCUGGGAUAACUUGCUGAAAGGCGAGCUAAUACCGGAUGUGAAUGUAAAUUCAAAGUUGGGGACCGCAAGGCCUGACGCUUCAUGAUGAGCCCGCGGCCUAUCAGCUAGUUGGUGAGGUAACGGCUCACCAAGGCUAAGACGGGUAGCUGGUCUGAGAGGACGACCAGCCACACUGGAACUGAGACACGGUCCAGACACCUACGGGUGGCAGCAGUCGAGAAUUUUUCUCAAUGGGCGAAAGCCUGAAGGAGCGACGCCGCGUGGGGGAUGAAUGGCUUCGGCCCGUAAAGCCCCUGUCAUUUGUGAACAAAUUGUUUCACCUAACACGGAAAUAUGAUGA